UACGUAGGGUGCAAGCGUUAAUCGGAAUUACUGGGCGUAAAGCGUGCGCAGGCGGUUUUGUAAGACUGUCGUGAAAUCCCCGGGCUCAACCUGGGAAUGGCGAUGGUGACUGCAAGGCUAGAGUUUGGCAGAGGGGGGGUAGAAUUCCACGUGUAGCAGUGAAAUGCGUAGAGAUGUGGAGGAACACCGAUGGCGAAGGCAGCCCCCCUGGGUCAAGAUUGACGCUCAUGCACGAAAGCGUGGGGAGCAAACAGG
rnacentral:rRNA from 1 species